UGGACCUCAGAUCAGGCAAGAUUACCCGCUGAGUUUAAGCAUAUCACUAAGCGGAGGAAAAGAAACUAACUAGGA
rnacentral:rRNA from 13 species